CACUCGAUGGCACAUGGUGUGUGCCUGCUUCAAUUAGUCGCCCAGUUGCAACUUGUAAGCAGGAGGUCCUGGUUCAAUUCCGGGUCGGGUGA